rnacentral:tRNA from 1 species
GAUAGUAAUAUGGUGCUUAAUUUCGACUUAGGCUUAGGUAAUUUUA